rnacentral:rRNA from 1 species
CCUACGGGUGGCAGCAGUGAGGAAUUUUGGUCAAUGGACGCAAGUCUGAACCAGCCAUGCCGCGUGCAGGAAGACGGCUCUAUGAGUUGUAAACUGCUUUUGUACGAGGGUAAACGCAGAUACGCGUAUCUGUCUGAAAGUAUCGUACGAAUAAGGAUCGGCCAACUCCGUGCCAGCAGCCGCGGUAAUACGGAGGAUUCAAGCGUUAUCCGGAUUUAUUGGGUUUAAAGGGUGCGUAGGCGGUCGGAUAAGUUAGAGGUUAAAUCCCGAGGCUCAACUUCGGAAUUGCCUCUGAUACUGUUCGGCGAGAGAGUAGUUGCGGUAGGCGGAAUGUAUGGUGUAGCGGUGAAAUGCUUAGAGAGCAUACAGAACACCGAUUGCGAAGGCAGUUUACCAAGCUACUUCUGACGUUGAGGCACGAAAGCGUGGGGAGCAAACAGGAUUAGAUACCCUUGUAGUC